UACGUAGGGGGCAAGCGUUGUCCGGAAUUAUUGGGCGUAAAGCGCGUGUAGGCGGCAUGGCAAGUCGGGUGUGAAAGCCCUCAGCUUAACUGAGGAAGUGCGCCCGAAACUGCCGUGCUUGAGUGCCGGAGAGGGUGGCGGAAUUCCCCAAGUAGAGGUGAAAUUCGUAGAUAUGGGGAGGAACACCGGUGGCGAAGGCGGCCACCUGGACGGUAACUGACGCUGAGACGCGAAAGCGUGGGGAGCAAACAGG
rnacentral:rRNA from 1 species